UUUUUUGUGCAGAUACAACACACACACACAAACUCACACAGACAUUUAGUCUGACUUCCUCCCCUCUCUCGUGACCAAUCACCAGUGACCGGAGCAGGAGAUGAUGACUGAGCUCCGGCACCUCGGUUCUCCUUCGAUCUACACCCCCACCCCCUUUGCGAUUCAGAAACGGACCACCACCACCACUAACCGGUGGUGGUGCGGCGGUGCGACACAGAGAGAGACUGAGAGGCGAGAGAGAGAGAACCGGCGGUCUAAGACUCGAACCGCCGGUCGGUCCAUUUACCCGGUGGUCGGUGUUAAAAGUCCAGCGGUCCAAGACUUUAUCCAACGAGUUUUCCGUGCUGAUGCGGUUAUUCAACGAAUAUGCUCCAGUCAGAUUAUUCAACAUCAACUGGUUCCUUCUCCGAUGCGGUUUUGGUUCGGGUCAUGCUUUGGACCAGGUCAUUUGGGUGCCGGGUCAAGUCUCGUUUCAGUUCAAGGGGUGAACCCGGUUCAGGUUCCGGUUAAGUGGUUCGAGUUUUCAGUCAAUCUUGGUCAACGAAGUCAGCCGGUUAUCUCGGGUCAACUCAGUCAGCAGUUUCAGUGACGGGUUCGGCUCGACUCAGUCUAACUCGGCUCAACUUGGUGUAUUUCGGUUCGACUCGGUCGACUUGGUCGGACUGAGUCAACUUGGUCGAAGUCAGCCGGUCAACUCAGUUGACUCGGUCAACUCGAUUGACUCGGUAACCCAGUCAACAUUUUCGACGUUCAACACGAGAAAUGGAUGCUGGAAGAGGAUAUUGCUAACAUCUUGGGUGAUAUCCUGAGGUUUAUUAAUUAACCACGUGCAGAUUAAAGGCUGAGGCUUACUAACGGUCAAGAGGACUUCUUCUCCUCAGGACUCGGACGAGUUUGUUGAAGAAGAGACGUUGAGCCCGAAAGACCAGGUCUACAACGUUCGAUGAAGGAAUAUUCGGUGGAUCCCGCAAGUUUAGGAUAGUUUGUUAAUUUAUCUUUACUAUAAAUAGAUGUGGCGGAUCAGUUUAAGGCACACACUCUUUUCGCUAACACUCUUGUACACUCUUGCCCUCUAGAUUACUGCAAUCACCACACUUGUACCCAAUUCACGUUGUAACACAUAGUCGAUCCGCACCACAUCCUGCACUGUAUUCUGAUAUUUGAAGCAAUAGAAGAACAAGGCAUCUGCGAUUGUCAGCU